UGGGGAAUAUUGGACAAUGGAGGGAACUCUGAUCCAGCAAUUCUGUGUGUGUGAAGAAGGUUUUAGGACUGUAAAACACUUUUAGUAGGGAAGAAAAAAAUGACGGUACCUACAGAAGAAGCAACGGCUAAAUACGUGCCAGCAGCCGCGGUAAUACGUAUGUUGCGAGCGUUAUCCGGAAUUAUUGGGCUUAAAGGGCAUCUAGGCGGUAAGACAAGUUGAAGGUGAAAACCUGUGGCUCAACCAUAGGCUUGCCUACAAAACUGUUGAACUAGAGUACUGGAAAGGUGGGUGGAACUACACGAGUAGAGAUGAAAUUCGUAGAUAUGUGUAGGAAUGCCGAUGAUGAAGAUAACUCACUGGACAGAAACUGACGCUGAAGUGCGAAAGCUAGGGGAGCAAACAGG
rnacentral:rRNA from 1 species